rnacentral:rRNA from 1 species
CNACCCAGGGGUAUCUAAUNNUGNNNUNAUCNNGGUUCUAAAGCAAGAACGGNGGCCGGCGUUCAUACCAUCCAGCUNNNAGAACGUGUCCUNGNUGAUGCCNNCCGCNCGCGCGGUUNUCCAACAUANAACGAGUGGCGCACGGGAGAGUAACACGUGGGUAACCUGCCNUUAAGUGGGGGGAUAACAUUUGUAAACAGAUGUUAAUACCGCAUAGAUCCAAGAACCGCAUGGUUCUUGGNUAAAAGAUGGCGUAAGCUAUCGCUUUUGGAUGGACCCGCGGCGUAUUAGCUAGUUGGUGAGGUAAUGGCUCACCAAGGCGAUGAUACGUAGCCGAACUGAGAGGUUGAUCGGCCACAUUGGGACUGAGACACGGCCCAAACUCCUACGGGAGGCAGCAGUAGGGAAUCUUCCACAAUGGACGCAAGUCUGAUGGAGCAACGCCGCGUGAGUGAAGAAGGCUUUCGGGUCGUAAAACUCUGUUGUUGGAGAAGAAUGGUCGGCAGAGUAACUGUUGUCGGCGUGACGGUAUCCAACCAGAAAGCCACGGCUAACUACGUGCCAGCAGCCGCGGUAAUACGUAGGUGGCAAGCGUUAUCCGGAUUUAUUGGGCGUAAAGCGAGCGCAGGCGGUUUUUUAAGUCUGAUGUGAAAGCCCUCGGCUUAACCGAGGAAGCGCAUCGGAAACUGGGAAACUUGAGUGCAGAAGAGGACAGUGGAACUCCAUGUGUAGCGGUGAAAUGCGUAGAUAUAUGGAAGAACACCAGUGGCGAAGGCGGCUGUCUGGUCUGUAACUGACGNGAG